GCCGGGCAUGGUGGCGGGUGCCUGUAAUCCCAGCUACUCGGGAGGCUGAGGCAGGAGAAUCGCCUGAACCCAGGAGAUGGAGGUUGCAGUGAGCCAAGAUCAUGGCAUUGCACUCCAGCCUGGGUGACAGAGUGAGAUCUUGUUUCAA
ensembl:misc_RNA Metazoa_SRP Metazoan signal recognition particle RNA